UUGAAGGGUUUUGAUUUUUGAAUGACAGAGGUUCCUUAUACAAUUCUUUCCAACUUGAAAAUUAAGGUCAUUGAGUUUCUUGGUUAUCGGGUUCUUUUUUUUUUCGUCAUGUUCUUCAUUUUAUACAGAGAUAUCAGUAUGGCUUAUAUAACAAAUAUUUUUCUUUAAUGAUUAUCUCCAUUAACUUGUUUAUUUUGUGGAUAUAUACCUUACAGGAUAACUAAUGAUGAUGAUUUUGAAGUAUCAUCUUUUCUAUAAUGGUCUUUAUGUGUUUCCUUUUUUAUUUUUUUGGUUUCUGGUUGAAAGUUGGGGAGUUCUCUUCCAUUUUGGUGAGAUGUUUUCUCAAUGUGGAUAUUCCAUUCAAGUAGGUGUCUGAUUUCAGCUCUUUCUUUCUCUCUUUUAUUGCAGUGCAAUGAUCCUGUUCUUAGAAUCUAAGAUCCUCUCAUCUUUUUUUUUUUCUUUUUUUUUUUCUAUAGUUGCUAUGAUGACACCAAAUGUACAUCUGUUUACUUAGAUUCAGUUCUUUUCAAUUCUUGCAUGCUGGUAAAUUACAAUUGAGUUAGGUUGUCCUUUCUUAUUAGUAAGUAACCUUUUGAUUUGACCUUAAAUUCACUUGUUUCCCUUCUUUUUUGGGUCUCUUUAUAAGGUUUUAUGUGCUCACCUUUUUUUUUUUUUUUUGCAGUUGCUAUAGAGGCCCCACCCAAAGUCAAUGGAUGUUUACUCAGAAUCCAUUCCUGUGAUGGUGGCUAUUUGCAGGAAGGACAUUAUGUUCAAAACAACUCGACUAAUAGCCUGAAUAUGAUGUCCCUCUUGUAGACUAUUUUCAUGUGUUUAGGUACCACUUUCAGUUGUGAUGAUGCAUGGUGACACAAAAUGCAUGAGACAGAUGGGAGUCUGACUAAAUCUAAUGAAUUUAAAGCAUCUUCUUUUCUAUAAUGGUCUUAAUUUGUUUUGCUUUUUUGGGUUUCUGGUUGAAAGUUGUGGAGCACAAGCAUGAGACUUCUCCUUCCAUUAUGGUUAUUUGUAAGCUUCUCAUGAAAAAUAAUUUGAUAGGAGCAACACACUGGGGAGCACAUGUUAUUAUGUAUAUAGCAAAAAUGCAAGGUUCAUUUAUAUGUUUCUUUGUGAUUAUUAAUUCAGUAAUGCUCAAUGAUCAAAAUGAUUGGUUUCAUUUGUGCAGAAAGUUCAAAAUCAGGGAUUCCUAUCCUAUCCUCCAAAGCAUGUUGAGAGAAACACUUCUUUUUUCCUUCACUGAAGAUGAAGGAAACACUUGUUUAUCUUAUGAUAAAUUCAAUAAAUGACAAUGUACUUUCAUUGAUUUGUUUAUUAUAGCAUCAUUCUUCCUAUUACAACAUGGCACUUUGAAAUACUUACCCAGUUAUAGCAAUAUCUUACAAAUACAAAACAAUUUUUACUGUUAUUAAUUAUAAUAAGGCAUAUUUUUCAAAG